CCUUCGGGGCGAGUAAAGUGGCGCACGGGUGAGUAACGCGUGGAUAAUCUACCCUUAAGAUGGGGAUAACGGCUGGAAACGGUCGCUAAUACCGAAUACGCUCCCGAUUUUACCGUUGGGGGGAAAGAUGGCCUCUGCUUGCAAGCUAUCGCUUAAGGAUGAGUCCGCGUCCCAUUAGCUAGUUGGCGGGGUAACGGCCCACCAAGGCGACGAUGGGUAGCCGGUCUGAGAGGAUGACCGGCCACACUGGAACUGGAACACGGUCCAGACUCCUACGGGAGGCAGCAGUGGGGAAUAUUGCGCAAUGGGCGAAAGCCUGACGCAGCGACGCCGCGUGAGGGAUGAAGGUUCUCGGAUCGUAAACCUCUGUCAGGGGGGAAGAAACCCCCUCGUGUGAAUAAUGCGAGGGCUUGACGGUACCCCCAAAGGAAGCACCGGCUAACUCCGUGCCAGCAGCCGCGGUAAUACGGAGGGUGCAAGCGUUAAUCGGAAUCACUGGGCGUAAAGCGCACGUAGGCGGCUCGGUAAGUCAGGGGUGAAAUCCCACAGCCCAACUGUGGAACUGCCCUUGAUACUGCCGGGCUUGAGUACCGGAGAGGGUGGCGGAAUUCCAGGUGUAGGAGUGAAAUCCGUAGAUAUCUGGAGGAACACCGGUGGCGAAGGCGGCCACCUGGACGGUAACUGACGCUGAGUGCGAAAGCGUGGGUA
rnacentral:rRNA from 1 species